rnacentral:rRNA from 1 species
UACAGAGGUCUCAAGCGUUGUUCGGAUUCAUUGGGCGUAAAGGGUGCGUAGGCGGCAUGGUAAGUCGGAUGUGAAAUCCCGGGGCUCAACCCCGGAACUGCAUUCGAUACUGCUGCGCUAGAGUACUGGAGAGGAGAUUGGAAUUUACGGUGUAGCAGUGAAAUGCGUAGAUAUCGUAAGGAAGACCAGUGGCGAAGGCGGAUCUCUGGACAGUUACUGACACUGAGGCACGAAGGCCAGGGGAGCAAACGGG